GACGAACGCUGGCGGCGUGCUUAACACAUGCAAGUCGAACGGAAAGGCCCUGCUUUUGUGGGGUGCUCGAGUGGCGAACGGGUGAGUAACACGUGAGUAACCUGCCCUUGACUUUGGGAUAACUUCAGGAAACUGGGGCUAAUACCGGAUAGGAGCUCCUGCUGCAUGGUGGGGGUUGGAAAGUUUCGGCGGUUGGGGAUGGACUCGCGGCUUAUCAGCUUGUUGGUGGGGUAGUGGCUUACCAAGGCUUUGACGGGUAGCCGGCCUGAGAGGGUGACCGGCCACAUUGGGACUGAGAUACGGCCCAGACUCCUACGGGAGGCAGCAGUGGGGAAUAUUGCACAAUGGGCGGAAGCCUGAUGCAGCAACGCCGCGUGCGGGAUGACGGCCUUCGGGUUGUAAACCGCUUUCGCCUGUGACGAAGCGUGAGUGACGGUAAUGGGUAAAGAAGCACCGGCUAACUACGUGCCAGCAGCCGCGGUGAUACGUAGGGUGCGAGCGUUGUCCGGAUUUAUUGGGCGUAAAGGGCUCGUAGGUGGUUGAUCGCGUCGGAAGUGUAAUCUUGGGGCUUAACCCUGAGCGUGCUUUCGAUACGGGUUGACUUGAGGAAGGUAGGGGAGAAUGGAAUUCCUGGUGGAGCGGUGGAAUGCGCAGAUAUCAGGAGGAACACCAGUGGCGAAGGCGGUUCUCUGGGCCUUUCCUGACGCUGAGGAGCGAAAGCGUGGGGAGCGAACAGGCUUAGAUACCCUGGUAGUCCACGCUGUAAACGGUGGGUACUAGGUGUGGGGUCCAUUCCACGGGUUCCGUGCCGUAGCUAACGCUUUAAGUACCCCGCCUGGGGAGUACGGCCGCAAGGCUAAAACUCAAAGGAAUUGACGGGGCCCCGCACAAGCGGCGGAGCAUGCGGAUUAAUUCGAUGCAACGCGUAGAACCUUACCUGGGUUUGACAUGGAUCGGGAGUGCUCAGAGAUGGGUGUGCCUCUUUUGGGGUCGGUUCACAGGUGGUGCAUGGCUGUCGUCAGCUCGUGUCGUGAGAUGUUGGGUUAAGUCCCGCAACGAGCGCAACCCUUGUUCACUGUUGCCAGCACGUUAUGGUGGGGACUCAGUGGAGACCGCCGGGGUCAACUCGGAGGAAGGUGGGGAUGACGUCAAGUCAUCAUGCCCCUUAUGUCCAGGGCUUCACGCAUGCUACAAUGGCUGGUACAGAGAGUGGCGAGCCUGUGAGGGUGAGCGAAUCUCGGAAAGCCGGUCUCAGUUCGGAUUGGGGUCUGCAACUCGACCUCAUGAAGUCGGAGUCGCUAGUAAUCGCAGAUCAGCAACGCUGCAGUGAAUACGUUCCCGGG
rnacentral:rRNA from 1 species